GGGCAUCAGUGGGCUAAGUUCGCUCAAGCCAAAAAGCAAAACAGAGAAAAACAAAAAAGGCGCAAAAUCCAAAAAGGCGUAAAAGUCAGCAGAAACCGACUGAAACUGAAGUUUAUUAACAUAACAAAAAUGUAUUCUCCUCGAAAAAAAGCACACCGUCCAGCAGUCUCUUUUCGGGAGUUUAGUAAGCUAAUUAAGAACCUGCCGGACAUUGCAUUCGACGUGCAAAGCGACCAAGCUGAGGAAGGAUCUUACAAAACGCUGGACGAGUGCGCCCAGUGGUACUACGAAGCCUUCUACAAGGAUCCCAGUGUACGAAAGCGGUACAAGUUCCAGGUGCGCGCUUGUGCCAAGGUAAAGAAGGAUAAGUUGCUCAGUCUGCCCGAGGCAGAAGUAGAUGACACGCCCGAAGAGAGUGAGCAUGAAUCGGCUGAUGAUGUUGUAGUCAAAGUGGACAAAAUGGGAAUGUUCAUGUUUCCCGUAACCUUCGAAGACUUUGCAAAGUACGCGGACACGGAUAUGAUAUGCAAGCUUACGACACAGAAGGAAACAAGCACAGAAGACAUCCAGCCCGAUAGCAAACAGAAACGAAGUCAGUUGCAGAAAUUCUACAACUCAUUCUACAUGUUUCCAGAAGAGCGAAAGUCCACCAAUAUAUUCCCUGAGGCACCCCCUGCGCUUUUAGUGAAGUUGCUAAGACCUGGCUAUCCCGUAGAUGAAGGAGCAGGCAGAAGUUUAGCAGAGCAUAAAAAAACGGGUCCAGCAAUCCAAGAGAACGAGAGGCAUCGGGAGCCUGAAGCUCCUGAAGGUCCUGAAGCAACCAGCGACUUUCCCAUUGUGAGCUUCCAAGUAUUCGAGAAACAUUUGGCGAACCUGUACGAUAUUGUGUGGCAGCUGAAGCUCAACGAUCCCGAGUAUGUGGUCAAGGACUUUGAGGAGGGGGCCUAUUGCUAUUACUUGGCAUUUUAUCUAACGCCGGAGAUUCGUGACAGAUACAAGUACAUCCUAAAGCCGUGUACGUCGGAUCUGAGUGCCCGCCUACUUGCCAUACCCAGCCGCGAGGAAGCCGAAAAGCUCAGGCGAAAUUUGCCAGAGUUGAUUAAACCAUCGCCAGAUCUGGAGCGACCCAAAAGUCCCGAUUUGGUCACAGAAACAGCAGUGGCACCUGUCGACUUUAAGUUUUUCAAAAAGUAUAUCGUGAAUCUGGAUGACAUCAGUCAGCAAAUGCGGUGCUGCGACGAGUACAAGGACUUAUCCAAAGAGGAGUGUGGCGCGGAAUACUUCAGGCAGUUUUAUAGCUCGCCAGAAAUACGCGAACGAUUCCAGUAUAAACUGAAGCCUUGUCCCGGAAUGGUACGCGAAAGAUUGCUGGGUCGACCGGCCUGCUCAGACAGGCCAUCGAAUGGAGCUGAAAAGGCAGCCGAACAGAACCGACCAGCUCCAAUAAAGGAAAGCAGUCGUAAGUCAGACCCCGAGCCUCUGCCUGAGGAGGAGCAUUGUGUCGAGAACGAUAACAACAACAAUAAAAAGUUUCCAGUUACGUUUAAGGAGUUUAAGCGUAGUGUGACGAAUCUCAGCGAAAUUGUACAGAAAAUGCAGCAGAGCGAGGAGUACAGAGAGAAGUCCGAAGAGCAGUGUGCUAAGGAGUACUACCAGGGGUUCUAUUCCAUGCCCCAGAUGCGUGAACGCUUCGAUUGUAAGUUCAAGCCCUGUCCCGCCAAGAAGUGCAAUCUGCUGCUCCGCUAUGCAGUGGAACAUCCUGAACCAUCCGAAGAGCAGUCUGAAAACAUUCCGCCUAAGAAGACAACAAAGCCGUCUUCUUUGAGCUCCGCUCGUGAUGACGUAGUAACUAUUGGCUCUGCUCGCUUCAAGUUUCCCGUGUCCUUGGGGGUAUUCAGGCGCUCUAUAAACUACGACGAAAUCGUCAGGUCCCGGCUGGGAAAAUCUACCGUCAAGCCGCAGCUCCAGGCCCAGACUGCCAACCCAAAGAACCCACAAUACGAGAGGUAUUUCCGUCAGUUUUAUGUCGGGUUCUACGCAUUCCCCAAUUUUCGCAAGCAACACGCAUAUCGAUUCAAAUGUGGUGGGGACAAACAGCUGCUGAAAAAGCUGUGCGACUAUGCGGUACCAUUGAAUGAGAGUGCCAAGCGGAAAGUGGAAGACGAGCAAAAGCGCCGACGACCGAUUGGUAGUCGUGGAAGAGCAGAAGCUGAACCUACUUUGAAGCCCAAGCCAGACCUGACAGACCGCUGUGGCGUCACAAAACCGAUUUCCUUUAAAGUAUUUUCCAAACUGUUGUACCUCGAAGAUGCAGUUAGCAAAAUGCAGCUGCAUCCAAACUUCGCUGCAAUGACGGAAGCUGAGUGCCAACGGCUGUACUACGAGUCCUUCUAUAGCACGCCCAGCAUACGGGACAAGUAUCCGUGUAGAAUAAAGCCCUGCCCGGCCGGCAUGAGGGCCAACCUACUGCAUAUCCCCGCCAAGCCGGGUAACCUGUCUGAUCUCAGAUACCCGCAGAGAAACGUAUCUGGCCAGCGCCAGAGCACUCCAGAUGUGGACAGAUUGUAUGCGGCUAGGAAAGCCGAGCUAGAUGGCAAACAGAAACUUAACGUGGUCAACUACAUGCCCCACAAUCUGAGCUCCUACAUAGCUCGUCGUGUUGCAUGUCCCGAGAGAAGAGCUGUCGUUGAGAAGUACAUAGUCGAAACGAUAAGGGAUUUAAAUGAGGCAGCGGCUAGCAGUGUCUCGGGGCUGGAUACAGUUAGGAGGGGAAUCGGUGAAGAAGAGAAGACAGAGGCUACGCCAGUGGCUGCAACGCUAGGCGUAGGAACGACAGCAGCGACUGGCCGUGAACCUGCAGAAUGUCCAGCAGCCUCUAUUGAAGUUGAAGGGGAAGUUGAAUCUCCAGAGGAAAACAGAGUAAGGGGCUACACUGUGCCAGAGAGUACAACAGCAAGUGUUCCAGCCAGCACCGCGAACCGUCCGAGCUCUACUACUCUGCCAGAGGUUGAAAAAACGACGAAUCCAGGGACCACUACGUCAGUAACAGCAUCCAAUGAAGUGCAGGCAACAGCAUCUGAGCAAGCAGCAACAGCAAGCAGCACAGCAGAAACAAUGCAUUCUGAGGCAUCUGCAGUCACUUUGAGACACCUGAUUGAACAACUUGAACAAACAGUGGACAUCUUUGCUGCGCCGAGCGACCAGGAGCACACUAUCAAGCAUUUAAUCUUCCAAAGCACCGGCCUAAAGAGAACGAUUUGGCGCAUACUCUUCCAGCUGAGCCAAGAGGAGUUCCGCACCUACACAAAAAUCCACAAAGGCGAGGCUUUCUAUGAAAACGAAGGCCUGCUACAGCGAUGUCAUCAGCAGGUUGUGGACCAAGGCUAUUGGCCACUUAAUUUGUAUGUGAAGCUGCCCAUGUUGCGCCAACUGUUGCACAGCAAAGGAGUGGAACUGCAGUCGCUGGAUCUGCUGCAGCUGUCGCCAAAGAUCUUACAUUGGAGCGAUCUAAUGCUGCUCACCGAUUUCGAUGAAAUUGUUGAGCAGCAUUACGCGGAUCGCACCGGCAAGCAGAUCGACGAUGCGAAAUUGCUGUUCCAGGAACGUGAGCAGUUUUAUGCGAGCUGCUGGACGCAUGAUCAAUGGAUACGCCAAGUGCCGAAGAUCACGAAUGAAGCAUUAAAUGAGCCAAUCUUUGGUGACGCAUCUGCUGUUGCAGGUGUAGUAUUAAAGCUACUCUGUGGAGUGGAGGAAAGCCAGGCCUCGGCGAUAACUAUUGAGUCAGACAACGCCAGACCCACGCCAUCUGAAGUAUCCAUUUGCCCGCACACUGAGCUCAACGCUCAAUCUACCAACUUUGUGGACAUGGACGAAGUGGGUCCCGCUUCGCAAAUGCCAGACACAGAGAAUGAUCCGCUUAGGGAGAGCAUGCAGGUUCCGGUCAAGCAGGAGGCAAUUAAGUUCCUCGACAAGUUGCGCGGCAGCUGUGUCAACAGCCAAGACUUCCUGUGGGAGAGCAUUGAUUCAAACGAACAAAUUAUUAACUUGGAUGACAGUCAGGAGUCACUUUCGGGCCUAGCUUGCUUUGCCAUCUGCAAAGCGACAGAAAUUGCGCCAUCGAAUGUAAAUGCACUUCCACAGUUUCCAGAAACUGAAAACCCUAAAAUAUCCACGGAGUCAGAAAUUAUAGAGUCUCAGCCUGAGGCAGAGCCGCAGCUGAAUGUGAUGCAGAAGGAGGCGCUGGUGCCUCCUCUAAACGAGCCCAUAAAACGCAAAGAUAAAACGUCUUCCUCAAACGAAGUGGGCAAGAAGCCUCGUCUGAUGAACGAGAAGGUGCCGCAGUUGCGACACGAGUUCCGCGCCCUUCCGCUCCACGCCGUGGUAUGCUUGGAAUCGACAGCCUUUGCUCCCGGUCUAGAGGACGAGCAACCAACCACUUCCUUGCAAGUCGCUUCUGCCAAGGAAAAGGAGCCUACAAUCACCGCUUCGCAGGAUUUUGCUUUAGGCAACACCCUUCUAGCAUCCUCCCAGCUGGACGCUCUACUGGAUGCUCCAAACGUUACGCUGCGCAAGAAACCCUAAUGCCAUUACAAGUUUUUUAUUUUAUGCAUCGGUUGGCGAAGGACGAGAGACAGUAUGAAUAUAAGGCCAUCAAAGCUCUUCACGCUCUGCCGGUUGAAAAGAAGCUGCAUUGCCAGGAGUUAGGAAUCGUGUGCCGAAGUAUGACUCUUCUGGCGCGAACAGGGCAACCCUCUAUUUAGAUCCUCUUCAAUGGAGCUUGUUCCAGAUGCGGAGGCGGAACAGCUUCUCGGUGGCUUGGAAUGCUAAAUCAGUCAAUAAUCAAGAGCAGACCGAUCCCAUUCAUAAAAUAGUCUGGCAGCAGUGGGGGCUACAUGAUUGUCAAGGAAGCCAUACCACAAGAAAAAAUAAUUUUCAGGGAGCAGGCAACCAUUUUCCAUGGCAUGCUAGUGGCCCAGGACAUCAGUCCCGAGGAUUUUACUAGACUGGAUUAGGACAGACAAAAAAAGAUUGUGAGGAUACUAGUUAAUGUUAGGUAUGCGUGUAAAUAUGCCGAUACUACUUUUACAAUUCUCGAUUGUAUUAUUUUGUUUAUUGUUUUAGUUAAUAUUUAAUUACCCAUGAAUCGCCAUUAUCCAACGAGCUCCGAUUUCAAAUAUAACAUUUUUUUUUAUAUUUCUAAGUUUAUUUAAGCCAAAUAUCAGUUUAACAACCUUCAUUUAACUAAGUUUUGUAGUCAAAAAAGCCAAAAACAGGUACAAUUUAAAUUUUG